GACGAACGCUGGCGGCGUGCCUAAUACAUGCAAGUCGAGCGCAGGAAACUGACGGAACUCUUCGGAGGGAAGGCAGUGGAAUGAGCGGCGGACGGGUGAGUAACACGUAAGGAACCUGCCUCAAGGAUUGGAUAACUCCGAGAAAUCGGAGCUAAUACCGGAUAGUUCAACGGACCGCAUGGUCCGCUGAUGAAAGGCGCUCCGGCGUCACCUUGAGAUGGCCUUGCGGUGCAUUAGCUAGUUGGUGGGGUAACGGCUCACCAAGGCGACGAUGCAUAGCCGACCUGAGAGGGUGAUCGGCCACACUGGGACUGAGACACGGCCCAGACUCCUACGGGAGGCAGCAGUAGGGAAUCUUCCACAAUGGACGAAAGUCUGAUGGAGCAACGCCGCGUGAGUGAUGAAGGUUUUCGGAUCGUAAAACUCUGUUGUAAGGGAAGAACACGUACGAGAGGAAAUGCUCGUACCUUGACGGUGCCUUACGAGAAAGCCACGGCUAACUACGUGCCAGCCGCCGCAGUAA
rnacentral:rRNA from 1 species